rnacentral:rRNA from 1 species
AACGAACGCUGGCGGCAUGCCUAACACAUGCAAGUCGAACGAGACCUUCGGGUCUAGUGGCGCACGGGUGCGUAACGCGUGGGAACCUGCCCUUAGGUUCGGAAUAACUCCCCGAAAGGGGUGCUAAUACCGGAUAAUGUCUUCGGACCAAAGAUUUAUCGCCUAUGGAUGGGCCCGCGUUGGAUUAGCUAGUUGGUAGGGUAAAAGCCUACCAAGGCGACGAUCCAUAGCUGGUCUGAGAGGAUGAUCAGCCACACUGGGACUGAGACACGGCCCAGACUCCUACGGGAGGCAGCAGUGGGGAAUAUUAGACAAUGGGCGAAAGCCUGAUCCAGCCAUGCCGCGUGAGUGAUGAAGGCCUUAGGGUUGUAAAGCUCUUUUAGCUGGGAUGAUAAUGACAGUACCGGGAGAAUAAGCUCCGGCUAACUCCGUG